rnacentral:lncRNA from 1 species
AAUGCGAAGGUUUUCCAAUUUUUUGAUUUUUUUUGAAUUUUUUAUGCCCGUUUCAAAAUGCGGUCAAAACGGCGGGAAUGACCGUUCCUAGGUAGUGGUUGAAUCUUGGAAUUUUUUUGGUGUUUCUAUGAUUAAAUAGAUACUUAUGUACCUAGAAAUGAUUUUUGGAAAAAAUAAAGAGCAAACUAUGAGGCAGCUACAGUUCAAAUUUGACCCGUUUCCAACUGAAUCGAUGGCAAUUUGUGUUUUUCACGAGAGGUGGAUCAAAACUUUUUUCACCCAACCAUUUGGUCUAUUGUGCAUUAUUUAUGUCCUAGUAUUUUAUAAAAUUGAUUUGGUCCAUUUGUGCAACAAUUAUUUGGUAGGUCCUUCACAAAAAAACCUCCUUUCGGGCACUCGAAAAAUGGAAAAUGAAUUUUCCGUGCAAAGAAAAUGAAAACUUCUUUAGGCAACAUUGUUUGGAAUUCAAAUAUUCACCCUUGUGCACAAUAUAAGAUCAUUUGAACAAACUAUGCCAUGAAUGUGGCCAUAAGAUUGAUCAUUUGGCUUGAAAGCCAUGAAUCUUCAUACUUGAUAGCUCAUUUCUGAGAACACUUUUCUAAAAUAAUUUCCGUAUUACAAGUUUAUUAUUUUUCCUGGAAACUUGGUCACAUAUAAUGACACAAUGCGAAGGUUUUCCAAUUUUUUAUUUUUUUUGAAUUUUUUAUGCCCGUUUCAAAAUGCGGUCAAAACGACGGGAAUGACCGUUCCUAGGUAGUGGUUGAAUCUUGGAAUUUUUUGGUGUUUCUAUGAUUAAAUAGAUACUUAUGUACCUAGAAAUGAUUUUUGGAAAAAAUAAAGAGCAAACUAUGAGGCAGCUACAGUUCAAAUUUGACCCGUUUCUAACUGAAUCGAUGGCAAUUUGUCUUUUUCACCAGAGGUGGAUCAAAACUUUUUUCACCCAACCAUUUGGUCAAUUGUUCAUUAUAUAUGUCCUAGUAUUUUAUAAAAUUGAUUUGGUCCAUUUGUGCAACAAUUAUUUGGUAGGUCCUUCACAAAAAACCUCCUUUCGGGCACUCGAAAAAUGGAAAAUGAAUUUUCCGUGCAAAGAAAAUGAAAACUUCCUUAGGAAACAUUGUUUGGAAUUCAAAUAUGCACCCUUGUGCACAAUAAAAGAUCAUUUGAACAAACUAUGCCAUGAAUGUGGCCAUAAGAUUGAUCAUUUGGCUUGAAAGCUAUGAAUCUUCACGCAUGAUACCUCAUUUUUUAGAACACUUUUUUAAAAUAAUUUCCGUAUUAGAAGAUUAUUAUUUUUCCUGGAAACUUGGUCACAUAUAAUGACACAAUGCGAAGGUUUUCCAAUUUUUUGAUUUUUUUUGAAUUUUUUAUGCCCAUUUCAAAAUGCGGUCAACACGGCGGGAAUGACCGUUCCUAGCUAGUGGUUGAAUCUUGGAAAACUUUUGGUGUUUCUCUGAUUAAAUAGAUACUUAUGUACCUAGAAAUGAUUUUUGGAAAAAAUAAAUAGCAAACUAUGAGGCAGCUGCAGUUCAAAUUUGACCCGCUUCCAGCUGAAUCGGCGGGAAUUUGU